rnacentral:lncRNA from 1 species
GUCAUUUAAUAUAAUCAUUGUCUGCUGAUUGGGGCACUCGGAGCAAUAUGUCAAAGUCUUAAGUAUUUGAAACACUUCACAGUGUUCUAUCUCAUAGCAGGGCUUUAGGAUUCCCUGCUAGCCUAACAGUAAGCGGUUUGUCCCUUCUCUCCUUAAUUGGCUUAUUUUCUACCCUUCUAAGCCACCUUGAAUUGUAUUAAGGGCCAUUGAUGGUGGUUACUCUGGUGGUUCCUUUCCC